rnacentral:lncRNA from 8 species
AUGAUUAAUGAACCCACCAGGUACCACCCCAAAGCCGUAAACACUGGCACCCUCAUAGAUAUCAUCCUAACCAAUUUGCCCUCUAAAUACACCUCUGCUGUUUUCAACCAAGAUCUCAGCGAUCACUGCCUCAUUGCCUGCAUCCGUAAUGGGUCAGCGGUCAAACGACCUCCACUCAUCACUGUCAAACGCUUCCUGAAACAUUUCAGCAAGCAAGCCUUUCUAAUCGACCUGGCCCUGGUAUCCUGGAAGGAUAUUGACCUCAUCCCGUCAGUAGAGGAUGCCUGGUUAUUUUUUUUAAAUGCCUUCCUCAUCAUCUUAAAUAAGCAUGCCCCAUUCAAGAAAUUUAGAACCAGGAACAGAUAUAGCCCUUGGUUCUCCCCAGACCUGACUGCCCUUAACCAACACAAAAACAUCCUAUGGCGUUCUGCAUUAGCAUUAAACAGCCCCCGUGAUAUGCAACUUUUCAGGGAAGUUAGAAACCAACAUACACAGGCAGUUAGAAAAGCUAAGGCUAGCAUUUUCAAGCAUAAAUUUGCUUCCUGCAACACAAAUUCAAAAAAGUUCUGGGACAUUGUAAAGUCCAUGGAGAAUAAGAACACCUCCUCCCAACUGCCCACUGCACUGAGGAUAGGAAACUCUGUCACCACCGAUAAACCCACUAUAAUUGAGAAUUUCAAUAAGCAUUUUUCUACGGCUGGCCAUGCUUUCCACCUGGCUACCCCUACUGCAGUCAACAGCACAGCACCCCCCACAGCUACUCGCCCAAGCCUUCCCCAUUUCUCCUUCUCCCAAAUCCAUUCAGCUGAUGUUCUGAAAGAGCUGCAAAAUCUGGACCCCUACAAAUCAGCCGGGCUAGACAAUCUGGACACUUUCUUUCAAAAAUUAUCUGCCAAUAUUAUUGCAACCCCUAUUACUAGCCUGUUCAACCUCUCUUUCGUGUCGUCUGAGAUUCUCAUAGAUUGGAAAGCAGCUGCUGUCAUCCCCCUCUUCAAAGGAGGGGACACUCUUGACCCAAAUUGCUAUAGACCUAUAUCCAUCCUACCCUGCCUUUCUAAGGUCUUCGAAAGCCAAGUCAACAAACAGAUUACCGACCAUUUCGAAUCCCACCGCACCUUCUCCGCUAUGCAAUCGGGUUUCAGAGCUGGUCAUGGGUGCACCUCAGCCACUCUCAAGGUCCUAAAUGAUAUCGUAACCGCCAUCGAUAAGAAACAAUACUGUGCUGCCGUUUUCAUUGACCUGGCCAAAGCUUUCGACUCUGUCAAUCACCACAUCCUCAUCAGCAGACUCAAUAGCCUUGGUUUCUCCUAA